rnacentral:rRNA from 1 species
AUGUCGGCAAGCUGCUACUCAGCGCUCCAAUCUGCCAAGCAAGGACUCUACGUUUUUGCGAAAGAGAGAAGACAUGUAUUCUACGUAGGUGCGCAGAGUUGCACGCGUGGAGCCAUGGCCGCGCGCGGUGCGCAGUUGUCACGCCAGCUGGGGAGAGAGGUGGAGCCGUGGAAGUCGGCUGACAGGGAAAGAAACGCCCCGCAGGCGGAGCCUCCAGAUGUGUAUCUUCUGUGUAAAGACAUGAUGUUUGUUGCAGUAAAUAUAAUCCCAGCUUUCUCUCGCUCAAGAAAAGAGAAAACAAGAAACGCAACAUCAAAGAGUUAA